rnacentral:lncRNA from 1 species
UUAGACUGUUGAUCCAUUUUGAGUUAAUCUUUUUUAAAAAAAAUUAUUUAUUUAUUCAUGAGACACAGAGAGAAAGAAGCAGAGACGCAGGCAGAGGGAGAAGCAGGCUCCUCGCAGGGAGCCCGAUGCGAGACUCGAUCCCAGGACCCCAGGAUCACGCCCUGAGCCAAGGGCAGACACUCAACCACUGAGCCACCAGGUGUCCCUGAGUUAAUCUUUACGUGUGGUGAUAGGUCAUAGAGUUCUUAUGAUGAUUCUACAAAAUGAGUAUUGCAUACCCCAAGGCGUAUAGUAAGCUCUCAAUGACUGGCAGUUAGUAUUAUUGUUGUAUGAUUUGUUUUUAGAAACCACCAAACACACGGUAGUUAUUGAACAAAAUGCAAAGGAAGAGCAAUCUUAUUAUUCUGUGGUCACACCUUCUUUUUUGAGAAAAAAACAAUCACUCACACUGAUUGCCCACCUUGUUCACCAUCUUUGGCAACUGCUGCUUGUUUCUGAAGGAUGAAGACUUGCCCUAAGUAGAGACUUCACAGCAGAGGCAGUUCCCAAGGGCGCCCCCAGCACCAUCCUGGGAAAUGGGCUACCUCUGGCACAAGCACAACCUUCCCAGGGUGACCGCACAAGAAGGAAAACAUGCAUUUUGACGUAAGCGUGUGUCAUGAAACUUCCCCGUUGCAUCCUUGGGUUUCCAUUUUCACACGAUUGUGUAUUUCUUCAUAGGAGUUUCAUGUAGAAUUAAUUAACUUCUGAGGAUUCACCUACUGCCCAGAUGCCCUGAUCAUCUGUACUCCAGCUACCCAAAUACGUCAAAUACCUUCUCUGAAUUUUCCGUAUUCCCAGUGGCUCCACACAGGAUGAUGAAGUUCGAGGAAGAAAAUCAGAUCAGAUGUCCCCUUGUCAGCCGUCGAGCCCCACGAAACCAGAAAGCCUUCUAUUAUAAGGUUCAAAACGAGGGACUUAAAUGCUGGCGACCUGGGCCCUGGCAUUACCGGCUUCACGGAUGUCCCCUCCCCGACGCAUCCUUCCCACUGCAGAGGCCUGUGAAUCUUAACUGAAGAGGGAAAUAGUCCAGCAGCUUGAACCACAGGUUGUGGCCUACGAAGAGCAGCGCUCAGAUUUCUAAUGAGGGGGCCGUUGUCACUGGGGACCAUCAUUCCCUCCCUGCUGGUGCCCCGCUCCGGGCCGCUGGGAGGCAGGACGGACGGAGGAAGCCCUCUUCUGUCUGUGGCAUCCUAACCUCGGACAGGUCGGGGCCCUGAGAGGCACCACAUUGAAAGUAGCGUCUAGUCAGCAGCCGCCCGAGGUAGCUUUCCCCAACUCUCCCCUAAAAUACACACAGACUCGGAAAAAGAUUAAAACUCUAAGUCAUCCAGUCAUUUAAGAACUAUUCGUCUGGCAAGCACUGAGUAAACAGUCGCUGCUUUCAAGGAAUUUCUGGUCCAGUCACUAAACCAAACUCUGUCUUCCUA